GACGAACGCUGGCGGCGUGCUUAACACAUGCAAGUCGAACGGAAAGGCCCUGCUUGCAGGGUACUCGAGUGGCGAACGGGUGAGUAACACGUGGGUGAUCUGCCCUGCACUUCGGGAUAAGCCUGGGAAACUGGGUCUAAUACCGGAUAGGAGCCAUUUUUAGUGUGAUGGUUGGAAAGUUUUUUCGGUGUAGGAUGAGCUCGCGGCCUAUCAGCUUGUUGGUGGGGUAAUGGCCUACCAAGGCGGCGACGGGUAGCCGGCCUGAGAGGGUGGACGGCCACAGUGGGACUGAGAGACGGCCCAGACUCCGACGGGAGGCAGCAGUGGGGAAUAUUGCACAAUGGGCGCAAGCCUGAUGCAGCGACGCCGCGGGGGGGAUGACGGACUUCGGGUUGUAAACUCCUUUCGCUAGGGACGAAGCUUUUUGUGACGGUACCUAGAUAAGAAGCACCGGCUAACUACGUG
rnacentral:rRNA from 1 species